rnacentral:sRNA from 1 species
UUGUCAACUCGAGGAGGCCCACGAAAUGUUGGAUCGGGAAUGCAGUCACGGACGUCGUUCGUGCGAUGAUGACGACGAUACUCGCAGAAGCGGUAGCAUGCACCAUGGCGAUCACUGUGGUGAUCGGAAACAUC